rnacentral:rRNA from 1 species
GACGAACGCUGGCGGCGUGCCUAAUACAUGCAAGUUGAGCGAUGAAGAUUGGUGCUUGCACCAAUUUGAAGAGCAGCGAACGGGUGAGUAACGCGUGGGGCAUCUGCCUUUGAGCGGGGGACAACAUUUGGAAACGAAUGCUAAUACCGCAUAAUAACUUUAAACAUAAGUUUUAAGUUUGAAAGAUGCAAUUGCAUCACUCAAAGAUGAUCCCGCGUUGUAUUAGCUAGUUGGUGAGGUAAAGGCUCACCAAGGCGAUGAUACAUAGCCGACCUGAGAGGGUGAUCGGCCACAUUGGGACUGAGACACGGCCCAAACUCCUACGGGAGGCAGCAGUAGGGAAUCUUCGGCAAUGGACGAAAGUCUGACCGUGCAACGCCGCGUGAGUGAAGAAGGUUUUCGGAUCGUAAAACUCUGUUGGUAGAGAAGAACGUUGGUGAGAGUGGAAAGCUCAUCAAGUGACGGUAACUUACCAGAAAGGGACGGCUAACUACGUG